rnacentral:tRNA from 1 species
GGAGGAAUACCCAAGUACGGCUGAAGGGGACGGUCUCGAAAACCGUUAGGAGCUUUACGGCUCGCGAGGGUUCGAAUCCCUCUUCCUCCGCCA